rnacentral:ncRNA from 1 species
UGCAUUGCGUUGAAGAGAAGAGUAGUAAAUGAAAGUGUUUAAAGAGAGCUAGGAAAGGUGAGAACUAGCAACAUAGAAAUUUAUGAACAUGGCCUUGGAGCAAAUUGCCUGAAAUUAAGUAAGGUUUUUCGGUAGCAACCGUUAUAUUGUAGGGUGAUAAAAUCCAUUUUAGGAGGAGUCACUUAUUAAGGUCUUUAUAGUGAUAUAAAGAUAAAAUAGGGUGGUACCGCGUAUAUACGUCUCUAAG